rnacentral:rRNA from 1 species
UACGUAGGGGGCAAGCGUUGUCCGGAAUCAUUGGGCGUAAAGCGCGCGUAGGCGGCCCGAUCAGUCCGCUGUAAAAGUCCAGGGCUCAACCCUGGAAAGCCGGUGGAUACUGUCGGGCUAGAGUCCGGAAGAGGCGAGUGGAAUUCCUGGUGUAGCGGUGGAAUGCGUAGAGAUCGGGAGGAACACCGGCGGCGAAGGCGGCUGCCUGGACCAGUCCUGACGCUGAGGCGCGAAAGCUAGGGGAGCAAACAGG